UACGUAGGGUGCAAGCGUUAAUCGGAAUUACUGGGCGUAAAGCGUGCGCAGGCGGCUAUGCAAGACAGAUGUGAAAUCCCCGGGCUCAACCUGGGAACUGCAUUUGUGACUGCAUGGCUAGAGUGCGGCAGAGGGGGAUGGAAUUCCGCGUGUAGCAGUGAAAUGCGUAGAUAUGCGGAGGAACACCGAUGGCGAAGGCAAUCCCCUGGGCCUCGCACUGAC
rnacentral:rRNA from 1 species